AUGGUGGGACAAAUGAUUGGGGUGAAGUCGUAACAAGGUAGCCGUAUCGGAAGGUGCGGCUGGAUCACCUCCUUU
rnacentral:rRNA from 1 species